GACGGAGGAGGCUAGCGUUGUUCGGAAUUACUGGGCGUAAAGCGUACGCAGGUGGCGAAGCAAGUCGGAUGUGAAAGCCCGGGGCUCAACCCCGGAUGUGCAUCCGAUACUGUUUUGCUGGAGUCCGGAAGAGGAGAGCGGAAUUCCCAGUGUAGAGGUGAAAUUCGUAGAUAUUGGGAAGAACACCGGUGGCGAAGGCGGCUCUCUGGUCCGGUACUGACACUCAAGUACGAAAGCGUGGGGAGCAAACAGG
rnacentral:rRNA from 1 species